UACGUAGGGACCAAGCGUUGUUCGGAUUUACUGGGCGUAAAGGGCGCGUAGGCGGCGCGGUAAGUCACUUGUGAAAUCUCUGAGCUUAACUCAGAACGGCCAAGUGAUACUGCAGUGCUAGAGUGUGGAAGGGGCAAUCGGAAUUCUUGGUGUAGCGGUGAAAUGCGUAGAUAUCGAGAGGAACACCUGCGGCGAAGGCGGGUUGCUGGGCUGACACUGACGCUGAGGCGCGAAAGCCAGGGGAGCGAACGGG
rnacentral:rRNA from 1 species